rnacentral:rRNA from 1 species
CCCUUAGAUACCCUGGGCAACACGCGUGCCACAAUAGAAGGUCUAGAAAGUUCCUGAGCAUAGUUGUUUGGGUAAUCUAAGAUGCCUUCUGUGACUGGGAUUGACCUUUGUAAUUAUAGGUCAUGAACGAGGAACCCCUAGUAAGAACAAGUCAUCAGCUUGUCCUGACUACGUCCCUGUCUCUUGUACACACCGCCUGUCGCUGUCUAUGAUACAUAUCUCGCUGAAACUUUAGGAGGUGGGCGUUGCUCGCUGAAUUUGGGUGAAUCGAUAUAUGCAGAAGAAGCAGAAGUCAUAACA